rnacentral:rRNA from 1 species
AUUGAACGCUGGCGGCAGGCUUAACACAUGCAAGUCGAGCGGGGAAAGGUAGCUUGCUACCUGACCUAGCGGCGGACGGGUGAGUAAUGCUUAGGAAUCUGCCUAUUAGUGGGGGACAACAUCUCGAAAGGGAUGCUAAUACCGCAUACGUCCUACGGGAGAAAGCAGGGGACCUUCGGGCCUUGCGCUAAUAGAUGAGCCUAAGUCGGAUUAGCUAGUUGGUGGGGUAAAGGCCUACCAAGGCGACGAUCUGUAGCGGGUCUGAGAGGAUGAUCCGCCACACUGGGACUGAGACACGGCCCAGACUCCUACGGGAGGCAGCAGUGGGGAAUAUUGGACAAUGGGGGGAACCCUGAUCCAGCCAUGCCGCGUGUGUGAAGAAGGCCUUUUGGUUGUAAAGCACUUUAAGCGAGGAGGAGGCUACCGAGAUUAAUACUCUUGGAUAGUGGACGUUACUCGCAGAAUAAGCACCGGCUAACUCUGUGCCAGCAGCCGCGGUAACAC